AAAAAAAAAAAAAAAAAGGAUCUAUUCAUCUUUCCCUGUAUUAUAUUUGCCAUUGUUGCACGUCAUCGUUUUUACCAAUUUUUUUUUUGUGGCAAUGCAAUUUUAUUUGUCAAAAUUCAUCAUCAAUGAGAAAAAUGCAUCAUAUGGAACAGAUAUAAUUAGGUUGAUCCCAAAACACAUUCAAAGUAAGGAAGUACAAGAAAUUGUAAUCACCAAUGGUAGUAUGACAGUUUUCUUAAUUAGCCAGCAAUUAAGAAAGGCAUGUUGCUACCCACUUUGUCUGAUAGAAAAUCACAGACUAAGUUGUUGAUUUUAACCUUCCAUCCAAUUUGUAAUUCAUUUCUAACUAUUGUUUUAGGGCCAGAGUUUGUAUGCUAUCUCCUUCCUCAAAAUGUGAUUUAUGUAAAUUCAAAGCAGAUGUAGCCAAAGGCAGAGAAAAGGCCUGACAAUUACAGUAGUAUGGUUAAGAAAAGCAACUGAGGAAAAUAAGGAAAGGGAGAACAUCUUUUAAUAGAUAACAGAAAUGUUCUACCCAUCAGUUAUUCUACUUACCAUUUUUGAGGUAAUCAAACCAAAAAUUUAAGAAUUAAUAACCAAAUAGCCAAAUUUUAUCAGUUUGAUUCACUUGUAACAGAAGAAUGCACACUCCUACAGGUAUGGACGGGGAGAUCUGAGUUUUAACAUACUCUUCAAAUGCAGACUGAAUUUAAAAAUCAAGCACCAUGAAAGCAUAUUGUUCCUGAGGUUGCACAUGAGGAAACCAUAUAGGAGGCAAGUGCGACAGUUAUGUAUUGACCAUUAUUGAACAAAUGCAUAAAAACUAUGGAAGCCACCCUUGCCUUGCAUCCUUUACUUAGAGAAGAACCUUUCCCUUGAAAUAAACGACUGCUCAUACAUGCACGCAAGCCCUGGGGACAAAUUCACAUAAUGCCAAGCAAACUCAUUUCAUAGCCGUAUACUCAAAUUUUAUAAAUCUCUAUCUUUCUUAACAGUACACCUUAACUAUCUUCUUGAUGAAUUCAUUCCCCCUAUUAAAGUUGUUGAUAUACGUUAUUCUAUGGACAUUUUUAGGUGUGUCCCUCUUAUUAAAAUCAAAAUUGCCAUAUUACUAAACUAUUGGAUCAAGAGAUUAUAGUUGCUUCCUGUACUCGUAACACAAUCUUUCAUUUCAGAAAACGCAAUCACAUAUACAUUAAUGCAAAAUCGUUAUGUUGCAAGCAUCUGGAAACAAAUCCAUCUUGUGCUAAACUUGCUAUUUUUCCUGUAAAGUCGACCAAACUCCAACAUGCCAAUCUUUCUUGUCCACUGAACUCAAAAUCGACUAUCUUCUUCUCAAAUUUAUCGCCCUUAUUAUUUUCCUUGUAAGAAGGAUUAUUCCAUAUUUUACUCGGGUCUUCUCCUCGAAUUAAGAGCAACUUACUAAUUGUAUUCAAAUCCAUUAUUGUUCAGACACUUUCACUAAAAGGAAUUAAUAUAAAUUAUCAAUUCUCACAACCUUUAAAACACAGCAACACUUCUCUCUAACCAAGACCGAUUUAAAAGGCAAAUCUUCCAGCUUCCACCUUAAGAAAACCCCAUCAUCAAUAUAAAAUCCAAGGAAGAGACAAAAAGGCAAAUCCGAAAUAUAAAUUUUAACUCCUAAAAAAAUCAGAAAAGUUCAAACACAUGCCAUGAUCUAUUCUUGAAAUUUUCGAUAAAAGGUAUGUAUAAAAAUCAAUUCUUUGAUGAAGCAAUAUCAAAAUAGUGAAUUGGGUUUCGUUUUAAAAUCAUAAACUGAAAGAAAUUCAUCUAUUACAAGCACGAAAUAACUUCUGAAACUGCAACCCAGGAAAGGCCAAACCCCUCUUUAAAAAUUUAUUUUUCCUAUAUUGUACUAAACAAAGCAUAAGUAACAUUGGGAUGCAGGCAGCCUAAGAGCCCAAAUGUCGAA
rnacentral:misc_RNA from 1 species